AAUGAAUUGUUUGGUCCUUAGGCCCAACCGGCCAAAAAUUCAAGGAAGGCAUGAGUGCACUCCUCUUGGUACUUGCAGCAGGAAGAGACACACGCCUCUAGCGUCUCUACCACGAGCUGAAAAACGUUAGGUUGCCGAAGCGAUUGCGCAGCGAUUCUGAUCAAGAUUGUGGUCGUGUUCGACGUUCUCACGAUGAUGUGAUCCAAAAUUCCAUCAAUCAACAUCAUGGAUUCGCAACUUCUUCGUGCCGUCAUGUUCAUCAUUAACGCGUUUCAGACGGUAAUUCACGGCGAGGCAAUAACGGACGAACGCAACGAGGCGAUGGCAGAUGAACGCGGAGAAUUCAAGAUCUAAAAGCAAGCUAAACCUCCAACCGUAAAGUCACCUUCCAAUCGUGACGAGCCCAACACACGCAGAGUCGUAACGAAAGCGGAAAAAUACGAGAAAACUUACCGAAUUGAAACAUGGUUGCGUUCUCUUGACGUGCUCAAACUCUGCUUCAUGUCGGCAACUUGUUAGUUAAAGGAUGGACUAUUAAAGUUAGGUUGGUUGUCGUUGAAUUGCUGGCUUGGCUUUGGCUCGUGUCGCCGCCGGCUCCAGCUGGUGCGUGUUGCUGCGGCGGUGUUGCUCUUGCUGUUUCUGAUGAUGCUUGGAUUGCGUCGCGGCUUAUUGUUGCAGCUGUACCGUCAUGCUGAAAAUGCAUUGCGUACUCGUGUUUUUCCGCCGUUGAGUUUGUUGUUGUAGCCACUUUUGAUGAUGGCUUGCUUUUGGUUUAAUAGCUGGCGUGUGCGGUAACUUGGAUACAUUGUGUAGCAGCUCGGAAUGUUGGUUUGGCUACUGCGUUUUCUGUUGCAGCAGCUUACAUUUGCUUCAGCUGGUUUGAUGUUUCGGUUUGGAUGAAAUUGGUGUGCGUUGGUGCAGCUUUGGAUUGUGCUCAUUUUAGUUUGCAGAUGGCCUUUGUCCGCGAUCUCAUAUGGAAAAUCGAUUGCAAAAUGGGGAAAUAUCCAAAAGCUAAGAAUCAGUCAUGUUCAACAAUUCUCGUCUUUCGUCAUUCUCCAUCUCUAAUAAAUCAAAGACAACUUAUAUACUCCUCCCUGCGUUCUCUUGGCAUUUCUUAGACAAAUCCUUUGUGAAGUGUGGAAGCUGCAACAUCAUUGAAUUUCACUCACACAUUCCUUGUGUCACUGUUUGACUUACAUCCAUAGCGAGGAGAGCCAUGUUCAUCCAACCAUUGCUCGAUAUUACAUCCACCUUUGCCUGCGGCGGCCUGUUCGCAGAAAGCAAUACCUCUCUCUGGUCCAAUGAUAGAUUACCACCAACAAAUUGCCUAUAGAAAUGCGCCUGCAUCACAACAUUUUCUUUAACAUGCGGAUAUGUGACUUUUGGGUUUUCAAAGGAAAAUCUUUGGUGGUUGAUCAACCUACGAACCACCUCUUCAUCCCUGGGUCUUAUUGGAGGGUGAGCAUACUCUGAUACAGAUGACAGAAUCUCCAACAGGCCCCUUAUUUGUUUUAUUGGAUGUGUAAAACAUCAUUGGAUAAUGGUUUCAGGUUUGUACUGUAACUGGAUUAUGGAUAAUGGGUUAUUAUAUAUUACUAGAUUAUUAUUUGGAUGUGGAA